UACGUAGGGUGCAAGCGUUGAUCGGAAUUACUGGGCGUAAAGCGUGCGCAGGCGGUUUUGUAAGACAGAGGUGAAAUCCCCGGGCUCAACCUGGGAACUGCCUUUGUGACUGCAAGGCUUGAGUGCGGCAGAGGGGGAUGGAAUUCCGCGUGUAGCAGUGAAAUGCGUAGAUAUGCGGAGGAACACCGAUGGCGAAGGCAAUCCCCUGGGCCUGCACUGACGCUCAUGCACGAAAGCGUGGGGAGCAAACAGG
rnacentral:rRNA from 1 species